rnacentral:lncRNA from 1 species
AGAUCUCUCUCUCUCUCUCUUUUUUUUUUUUUUGUUUGUUUUUUUGAGACAGGAUUUCUCUGUAUAGCCCUGGCUGUCCUGGAACUCACUUUGUAGAAGUGGCGAGAGCUCUUAAGUGGCCUAGAAGUAUCCGGCUGGCUCAGAUCAGGGUGACUCAUGGCCAUGGUUCAGGAAGCAUGGGGAUGAUGCAGCAGGCGUAUGUAACAACUGACUCAAGAAGACUCCUGGACACUUUACAAUGGGACCUGGAUGCCGGGCCUGAACAAGCUGGCUGUCCCCAGAGCUCAUGACAUUUGAUCUUCAACCCAAGGACAGCCCAUGCUUCCUGUGGUUGCUGUCUUUUGGUUUGUCGGUGCCUCUGUCCCCUGUUGGGCUCCUUGGAGGGAGCUUGCUUGCAAGCAGACGGAUGGAAGCCCACCUGACCUGUCUAGCUGUGGCCACUUCCUCCUUCCCAGCUCAGCCUUUGCUGUGAGAGCUCGGAGUGAAUGCCUUUGAGACCAAACAACAGGAAACCACGAAGCAGGGUCUUAUUACAUGGCCCAGGCUAGCCCAGCACUCACUAUGUAUGUAGCCUGAGCUGACCUAGAUCUUCUGGAUGUUUUCCUGCCCCAAAUACUAGGAUGGAUUUUAUUUUCCCUUACCACCCAGCCAAACAAUGAGAUGCAAUUUAAACACAAAUAUUUGAUUGCUGCACCAGGCUGGCUUGGUGGCUUCUUUGCUGAACAGGCCCUGUGCUGUUUCCAGUGCGACAGCAGACUUUCCUGCCGGCACUGGGUUUGCCACUUGCGGAACUGUUCCUUGCUGUGCCUUGGUCAGUCCAGAAGGGCAAUACUUCCCAUGGGCUUGGAAUAUAGAGUUAUCAGGAGAGCAAGACUGGCUCUAGCUCUAGGGAGGAUGAAAAGACAGGAGGGCUGCUUGCCCUGUGACCUGAGAAUGGUGAAGAUUCAGAGAAGGAGAUCGCUAAGGAAAGCAGGGUGUGCAAAGGGCCUGGGGCCAGAGGGGGUGAGUUUGAGGACCACGGCGUACCCCAGUG